UACGAAGGGUGCAAGCGUUACUCGGAAUUACUGGGCGUAAAGCGUGCGUAGGUGGUUUGUUAAGUCCGUUGUGAAAGCCCUGGGCUCAACCUGGGAAUGGCAGUGGAUACUGGCAAGCUAGAGUGCGGUAGAGGGUAGUGGAAUUCCCGGUGUAGCAGUGAAAUGCGUAGAGAUCGGGAGGAACACCAGUGGCGAAGGCGGCUACCUGGACCAGCACUGACACUGAGGCACGAAAGCGUGGGGAGCAAACGGG
rnacentral:rRNA from 1 species